rnacentral:rRNA from 1 species
UACAGAGGGGGCAAGCGUUGUUCGGAAUUACUGGGCGUAAAGGGCGCGUAGGCGGCCUUCUAAGUCGAACGUGAAAUCCCCGGGCUCAACCCGGGAACUGCGUCCGAUACUGGAAGGCUUGAAUCCGGGAGAGGGAUGCGGAAUUCCAGGUGUAGCGGUGAAAUGCGUAGAUAUCAAGAGGAACACCUGCGGCGAAGGCGGGUUGCUGGGCCGACACUGACGCUGAGGCGCGAAAGCCAGGGGAGCGAACGGG